rnacentral:rRNA from 1 species
AUUGAACGCUGGCGGCAGGCCUAACACAUGCAAGUCGAACGGUAACAGGAAGCAGCUUGCUGCUUCGCUGACGAGUGGCGGACGGGUGAGUAAUGUCUGGGAAACUGCCUGAUGGAGGGGGAUAACUACUGGAAACGGUAGCUAAUACCGCAUAACGUCGCAAGACCAAAGAGGGGGACCUUCGGGCCUCUUGCCAUCGGAUGUGCCCAGAUGGGAUUAGCUAGUAGGUGGGGUAACGGCUCACCUAGGCGACGAUCCCUAGCUGGUCUGAGAGGAUGACCAGCCACACUGGAACUGAGACACGGUCCAGACUCCUACGGGAGGCAGCAGUGGGGAAUAUUGCACAAUGGGCGCAAGCCUGAUGCAGCCAUGCCGCGUGUAUGAAGAAGGCCUUCGGGUUGUAAAGUACUUUCAGCGGGGAGGAAGGGAGUAAAGUUAAUACCUUUGCUCACUGACGUUACCCGCAGAAGAAGCACCGGCUAACUCCGUGCCAGCAGCCGCGGUAAUACGGAGGGUGCAAGCGUUAAUCGGAAUUACUGGGCGUAAAGCGCACGCAGGCGGUUUGUUAAGUCAGAUGUGAAAUCCCCGGGCUCAACCUGGGAACUGCAUCUGAUACUGGCAAGCUUGAGUCUCGUAGAGGGGGGUAGAAUUCCAGGUGUAGCGGUGAAAUGCGUAGAGAUCUGGAGGAAUACCGGUGGCGAAGGCGGCCCCCUGGACGAAGACUGACGCUCAGGUGCGAAAGCGUGGGGAGCAAACAGG